rnacentral:rRNA from 1 species
CCUUUUGACUGAGUGGCGGACGGGUGAGUAACGCGUGGGCAACCUGGCCUGUACAGGGGGAUAACACUUAGAAAUAGGUGCUAAUACCGCAUAACGGGGGAAGCCGCAUGGCUUUUCCCUGAAAACUCCGGUGGUACAGGAUGGGCCCGCGUCUGAUUAGCCAGUUGGCAGGGUAACGGCCUACCAAAGCGACGAUCAGUAGCCGGCCUGAGAGGGCGGACGGCCACACUGGGACUGAGACACGGCCCAGACUCCUACGGGAGGCAGCAG